AGUGAGUUCAGACUCUCAGCUUCCAGUCGACUGUCAGAGGAGAAGCAGGAUCUUAUUCUGAUAGGCUGAUCUGUGUCUCACACUUCCUGCGCUGUGAGGCUGUGAUUUCAAAGAAACACUGAGGAGGAGGAGCAGCUGCUCAACAGUCCAACCAGGAAACAAGAAGAGAAGAACUGAGUGAGUUCAGACUCUCAACUUCCAGUCGACUGUCAGAGGAGGAGGAGCAGCCUGACUGAAGAUGAGUGAUGUGGGUGAAGAGGAGGACAGAGCAGAGUCUGUGGACAGGG